UACGGGGGGGGCAAGCGUUGUUCGGAAUUACUGGGCGUACAGGGAGCGUAGGCGGUUGGAUAAGCCCUCCGUGAAAUCUCCAGGCUUAACCUGGAAAGUGCAGAGGGGACUGUUCAGCUAGAGGAUGGGAGAGGAGCGCGGAAUUCCCGGUGUAGCGGUGAAAUGCGUAGAGAUCGGGAGGAAGGCCGGUGGCGAAGGCGGCGCUCUGGAACAUUUCUGACGCUGAGGCUCGAAAGCGUGGGGAGCAAACAGG
rnacentral:rRNA from 1 species